rnacentral:lncRNA from 1 species
AGACGGAAGAGAAAUAUUUCUCCAGCAGAAAGAAAACUACUAUGCUGAGUGAAGCCUGCUGCACACUAGAGCCUGUGCGUGGAACCGGGCGGAGAAGACACCUGAUCUGAGGAACACCAUCUCAUCAGCAUGAGAGAUCGGUAUAUUUAUUCCCCAGG